rnacentral:rRNA from 1 species
GACGUAGGGCGCGAGCGUUGUCCGGAUUUAUUGGGCGUAAAGAGCUCGUAGGCGGCUUGUCGCGUCGACUGUGAAACCCGAGGCUCAACUUCGGGCUUGCAGUCGAUACGGGCAGGCUAGAGUUCGGUAGGGGAGACUGGAAUUCCUGGUGUAGAGGUGAAAUUCGUAGAUAUCGGGGAGACACCGGCGGCGAAGGCGGCGACCGUGGGUAGAUAC